AGUGAACGCUGGCGGUAGGCCUAACACAUGCAAGUCGAACGGCAGCACAGUAAGAGCUUGCUCUUACGGGUGGCGAGUGGCGGACGGGUGAGGAAUACAUCGGAAUCUACUUUUUCGGGGGGGAUAACGUAGGGAAACUUACGCUAAUACCGCAUACGCCCUACGGGUGAAAGCAGGGGAUCUUCUGACCUUGCGCGAUUGAAUGAGCCGAUGUCGGAUUAGCUAGUUGGCGGGGUAAAGGCCCACCAAGGCGAGGAUCCGUAGCUGGUCUGAGAGGCUGGUCGGCGACACUGGAACUGAGACACGGUCCAGACUCCUGCGGGAGGCAGCAGUGGGGAAUAGUGGACAGUGGGCGCAAGCCUGAUCCAGCCAGACCGCGUGGGUGAAGAAGGCGUUCGGGUUGUAAAGCCCUCUUGUUGGGAAAGAAAAGCAGCAGGUUAAUACCCCGCUGUUCUGACGGUACCCAAAGAAUAAGCACCGGCUAACUUCGUG
rnacentral:rRNA from 1 species